GGGUGGCUCAGAUGGGACAUCUGACACCUCACUGAUGGCCAGGGUUGAUUCAGCUGGUCUGGCUGGCCAGGCCAGUGUCCCCUCCUCCCUGUGCACUCAGUGAAGAGGACACGAGGACACCCUUCCGUCCCAGAGCAGGACUAGUCUUCGGUCAAGGACUAGCUGCACUCCCCUGCUAGAUCCUCCAAGCAAGCUCUCAAGUUUUAAGGGGUUGACACGGAUGGAACGGAUACACAAAUGUCAGGUGAGUCUCCAGCGAGGGAGCAGUUUUGC
rnacentral:snRNA from 1 species